GUAGACUUCUAGGACUUCACUUGAAAACAAUUAUAUGCAGUAUGAUGGGCUCAGCCUGCAUAUAAUUCUUUUCAAGUGAAGUCCUAGAAGUCUACUUCUUGGUUUAAUUGAUAAAUACAUAUUAUAUAUUUAUAUAUUAUAUAUAUAAUAGCAUAACAUAUAUAAUGCUAUGUUAUAUAUUAUAUAUAAUGUUAUAAUACGCUAUUCUAUAUAUUAUAUAUUAUAUAGAGAGAAUAGCAUAUAUAUAAUGCUGUUCUAUAUUAAUUCAAUAUUGAAUUAAAAUGAAAAAUAAAAAUAAAUGAUAGGUAAUGUUUGGGCCAACUCUUUGGGAUUACGGCAUGGAAGCGAUAGUUAAGCAAAAUUCCACUCCCCUCUAUUGCCAUAGUUUAUAAUGGUGCUUUUCCUUUUUUUUUUUUUUUUUUGUUGUUGUUUUUUAUUGAUCAUUCUUGGGUGUUUCUCGCAGAAGGGG
rnacentral:lncRNA from 1 species